rnacentral:rRNA from 1 species
GACGAACGCUGGCGGCGUGCUUAACACAUGCGAGUCGAACGGAAAGGCCCUGCUUUUGUGGGGUGCUCGAGUGGCGAACGGGUGAGUAACACGUGAGUAACCUGCCCUUGACUUUGGGAUAACUUCAGGAAACUGGGGCUAAUACCGGAUAGGAGCUCCUGCUGCAUGGUGGGGGUUGGAAAGUUUCGGCGGUUGGGGAUGGACUCGCGGCUUAUCAGCUUGUUGGUGGGGUAGUGGCUUACCAAGGCUUUGACGGGUAGCCGGCCUGAGGGGGUGACCGGCCACAUUGGGUCUGAGAUACGGCCCAGACUCCUACGGGAGGCAGCAGUGGGGAAUAUUGCACAAUGGGCGGAAGCCUGAUGCAGCAACGCCGCGUGCGGGAUGACGGCCUUCGGGUUGUAAACCGCUUUCGCCUGUGACGAAGCGUGAGUGACGGUAAUGGGUAAAGAAGCACCGGCUAACUACGUG